GGAUCUGGCUCAGUGGAAGAGCCUCUGCUUUGCAUGCAAAAGGUCUUAGGUUCAAUCACAGGCAUCUUCA